rnacentral:rRNA from 1 species
GCAUAUCAAUAAGCGGAGGAAAAGAAACCAACAGGGAUUGCCUCAGUAACGGCGAGUGAAGCGGCAACAGCUCAAAUUUGAAAUCUGGCCCCAGGCCCGAGUUGUAAUUUGCAGAGGAUGCUUCGGGCGCGGCGCUUUCCAAGUCCCCUGGAACGGGGCGCCAUAGAGGGUGAGAGCCCCGUCAGGAUGGCCGCCAAGCCUGUGUGAAGCUCCUUCGAUGAGUCGAGUAGUUUGGGAAUGCUGCUCUAAACGGGAGGUAGACCCCUUCUAAAGCUAAAUACCGGCCAGAGACCGAUAGCGCACAAGUAGAGUGAUCGAAAGAUGAAAAGCACUUUGAAAAGAGGGUUAAACAGUACGUGAAAUUGUUGAAAGGGAAGCGCUUGUGACCAGACGUGCGCCGGGUGUUCAGCGGGCGUUCUCGCCCGUGUAUUCGCCCCGGCGCAGGCCAGCGUCGGUUCGGGAGGGGGGACAAAGGCACCAGGAACGUAGCUCCCCCGGGAGUGUUAUAGCCUGGCGCGUCAUGCCCCCGCCCGGACCGAGGUUCGCGCUCCGCAAGGACGCUGGCGUAAUGGUCUCCAGCGGCCCGUCUUGAAACACGGACCAAGGAGUCGAGGUUUUGCGCGAGUGUUUGGGUGUCAAACCCGCACGCGUAAUGAAAGUGAACGCAGGUGAGAGCUUCGGCGCACCACCGACCGAUCCUGAUGUCUUCGGAUGGAUUUGAGUAUGAGCGUAGGGCCUCGGACCCGAAAGAUGGUGAACUAUACUUGGAUAGGGUGAAGCCAGAGGAAACUCUGGUGGAGGCUCGCAGCGGUUCUGACGUGCAAAUCGAUCGUCAAAUCUGAGUAUGGGGGCGAAAGACUAAUCGA